rnacentral:rRNA from 1 species
GACGAACGCUGGCGGCGUGCCUAAUACAUGCAAGUAGGACGCAGUUGCGAACGGGUGAGUAACGCGUAGGAAACUGCCUAUUAGAGGGGGAUAACUAGUGGAAACGAUAGCUAAUACCGCAUAAUUGUAGAUGGACCUGCGUUGUAUUAGCAAGUAGGUAGGGUAAUGGCCUACCGAGGCAACGAUACAUAGCCGGCCUGGGAGGGUUGUCGGCCACACUGGAACUUAGACACCGCCCAGACUCCUACGGGAGGCAGCCGUAGGGAAUCUUCGGCAAUGGGGGAAACCCGGACCGAGCAACGCCGCGUGAGUGAAGAAGGUUUUCGGAUCGUAGGGCGCUGUUGUUAAGGAAGCGGUACUUAACCAGAAAGGGACGGCUAACUACGUGCCAGCAGCCGCGGUAAUUC